rnacentral:rRNA from 1 species
CACGUAGGGGGCAAGCGUUGUCCGGAUUUAUUGGGCGUAAAGAGCUCGUAGGCGGCUUAGUAAGUCGGGUGUGAAACCUCCAGGCUCAACCUGGAGACGCCACCCGAUACUGCUGUGGCUAGAGUCCGGUAGGGGAGCGUGGAAUUCCUGGUGUAGCGGUGAAAUGCGCAGAUAUCAGGAGGAACACCAGCGGCGAAGGCGGCGCUCUGGGCCGGUACUGACGCUGAUGAGCGAAAGCUAGGGGAGCAAACGGG